rnacentral:rRNA from 1 species
AUGUUGGAUCAGCUUAGUGGAGCAAGAGUGUUCACAAAGCUGGAUUUAAGAAGUGGAUAUCAUCAAAUCCAUAUCAGAUCCGGGGAUGAAUGGAAAACCGCCUUCAAGACAAAGGAAGGAUUGUUUGAAUGGCUAAUCAUGCCAUUUAGACUUUCAAAUGCACCAAGUACCUUUAUGCACUUGAUGAAUCAAGUCCUUCGACCCAUCUUAUCCCACUUUGUUGUGGUUCAUUUCGAUGACAUCUUGAUCUAUAGCAAGGAUGAGGCUGAACUUCCAGGCAUAGAUCAAAUAAAGGAGUUGUAUAAGGAUGACGAAGACUUUGGCCAUGUUUGGGUGAAGCACACAAGGGGCCAACCAUUAGGUGAUGACUAUUUGAUGCAAGAUGGCUAUCUCUUCAAAAAUGAUCGUUUGUGCAUUCCAAGAAGUUCUCUAUGUGACAAACUAGUUAGAAAGCUCCAUUCAGGUGAUCUUAGUGGCCAUGUUGGAAGGGACAAGACUAUUGCUAACCUGGAAGCCCGCUACUUUUGGCCAUAA